UCAAGAGGCUGUGAGGCAGCUCAGCGUCUCCAUUAGAAUUCAGAGUAUUCCACGGUAAUUACAAAACAGCUGUAAUGGAAAAUUGGUAGUCAAACCCAUUUUCCAGCGACUAGAACGGUGAAUGGGCUCCAUUAUGUUCCUAAUUCUCAUUAACUUAAUUUGCAUAGGAAACAAUGAAGGAAUACAUAAUGAAGUACAGUGGGCCAGCAGCCCAGCCCUCACCCCCACAAUGCUGGGUUCAACUUGCACUGACCCACCCCACAGAGAGGGAGAAACCCAGGGCUCCCUGUGGACUGGACCUCCCCCAGGUGACCUGAAGCUGCCCUGAUGGAGCACAAUGGAGGGAUACCACUUGUCUGUAACUUGUUCAGGAUCCCUUUGCCUCAGCACACACCAUGUAAACCCUGAUUCUUCUCCACACCCCUGCUUUGGGGAAGGCUGAAGAACUGGAGCAGAAGGAAAAAGAACUUGUUUUUAGCUCUUCAGGUGCCAUAACUCUGCAUCCCAGAGAGAAAACAAACACCUGCUUGAGAAGCAGUAUUGUUGGUCCCUGUGUAAGAAACAACCAGACGACCCUCCAGAUACAAACACCUUCUCUUCCCUGCAGCCAGCACCACCCUCACAGUUUGGAGCCACAGCCUACCAUGUAUGCAGACAAUAGGAAACAGCAAUGCCUUUGUGCUUCAGGGAGAAGAGGAGAAGGGCAGGAGAGUAAAUGUGGUCGUGACGAAACACAAACCAUGCAAUGCCAUGCACAUCUUUUUCCUGUUGGAUAUCGGGAUGUAUUUGGCUCAAUAUCUAGUGCACGCACAGUAUCAGGCUCACAAAAAUAUGGAGAACUAACUGGAUACCUGAGAAGAGAAGAAGGGAAAGAAGAAGACUGGAGAUGCAAAUGCAUAGAGAACCUGGAGGCAGAAACUAGAGCAGAGGCCAUGGAGGAGCCAUACUACUGACUUACUCCCAGAUUCACACCUCUCAAGACCACCUGCCUAGAGAUAGCACAGCUCACAGUGAGCUGGGCACUCCCCCAUCAAUCAGCAAUCAAGAAAAGACCCUGAAGACAUGUCUACAAGCCAAUCCAAUGGGGGAAAAUUUUCAACUGGGGUUCACACAUCCAAAUGUGACAAGUUGACCACAAGGUGAGUUAGUCAUCACAGAUGUGAAAUCACUUUGUCAUAGCAUCAUUUUUUUUUCUAUCUCAAGAGGAACUGUAGGUUUUUCCUAUUUCAACGUCUCAAUGGAAGAAUGACUGUCUUGAACAUUAAAUUUGGACUUGAUCUUGCUUUCAGCCGCAGACUUCCUGAGAUGUUACAGCCAUAAUAAACAAACCUCCCUCCUGAUGCCCCAGUUCAGAAUUCCACAUGUGGAAGAGAUUAUUUCAUAGGCGACAUGGCGAAGAAUGAGGUAGCAUCUGAACAAUAAAGGUCUCAGAUCUAAUUUUCUGAACCCUACAAUAAGGUUGAUAACUGAGUGGCGGUUAGCAAUGCACCUUAGACUGAUUUGGCUUCUCUUUCCUCUUAGAACCCUGGGCACACCCAGUGGUAUCCAGAUCUCUCUAGGUAUGAGAUAGUUGAGACCCCAGACUGGGAUUGUAUUAGCCUACAUAAGUAGCUCUGGGUGUCUUGACCUUUCACAGUUACCAGAAUCAUCUGGACACGAUGUUGCAAAUCCCAGUAACUGGACCAGACCCUCCCUAGGUUUGUUAAUUUCAGAUGGCUAGUUUGUAGACUUAGCCAUAAUUAUUUUUGCUAAACUUCUGGCUAUCUCCAUCGUAACGAAUACCAGGAGUCACUGUUCUCCAUGAACCACAAAGGAAGAUCAUGUCUACAUGGAUUACCUAGUUCCAUCAUGUAAUAUUGCCUGAGUGAGUGAUCACAGAGACUUCGGUCUAAUACCACAAAGAGAAGAAUCUCCCAGAGUCCCCUGCGUAGAUGCCCUAGAACAAGGACUUAUGAAGAAUCAGUACUGCAUCCAGAGAAGACAGUGCAGUCCUGAAGCCAGAGCUUGGACACAGAGUCAAACUGAGGGCUGUGAAAUGUCAAGCUGCCAGGCAAAAUCUAAGGACCCCAGGCGAAGAGACGGUUUACCUGUAUUCAGAGCGAACCUUCCAAGCGCAGUGAAACCUUUCUGGAGACACCCUCACGGACAAUCACAAAAGUGUCUUUCUUAGUGAUUCCAAAUGUACUAAAGCUGACAAGAAAGAUCAUCCCGUCACACUGGGUUUGCUUCCAGUCUGCUCAGAGAAGGAUUUCCAAGUUUCUCCAGCUGUACUGAGGGGGAAGCUUGGUUCUGGAGCUAAGGAAGUUCAUCAUUUGGUAAAGAUCUUUCUGCAUUGUCACAUGUCGGAAGACAAAUGCCUGAGAGACAGAGAUCACACAAAUCAGUUCUUUUAUCAGGAACCCAUUCUGAGUUUAAUGAGCCUGAGAAUUUUCCUCCAGAGAACGUUUCCCAGAAUAUUACACAGCUUUGGAAACAAAUACCAGCUCCAGUUGUAUGGCCUGAAAACAUCAGUGUGGUCCUAAAGGAAACAAAUCCACCCUAAGGGAGUAUGAUAAGAACCCAACACAACUGUCUUGAGAGGCUUCAUCCAGACGCUGAUGGAAAUAAAUGUAGAGACCCACAGCCAAAACAUUAGACAGAGCAUGAGGAGUCUUGUGGAAGAGUCGGGGACAGGAUUGAGGGAUCCAGAGAGAUCAAGGCUACCACAAGAAGACCUACAGAGUCAACUAAGCUGGGCCCAUGGGGCUUCACAAAGACUGAACCACCAACCAAAAACCAUGUGUUUCUAUGUUUUCAUCAUUAUUUUCAUGAUAAUGCUAGAAGGAAACGUUGUUCUCAUGCCUCUAUAUAUGAAGGCAACCCAAAAGACAUGUGUCAACCUCUACAGCAGCAAGGAAAGGUUGGGAGUGGGAGGCCUCUCAAUACUUUCUGCUUCUCCAAGUGGCCAAACUCACCGGCAGAUCUUGCUGCAGCAAUGACAAGAAAGGUGCUUCCUGGUGAAGUCCUGGAUGAAGCCUAUGGAGAAGGGAAGGCUGCUGAGAACAUCCUGCCACCUCCCACAAUGCACCAAAAAAAGAAGCCUUGGUCUUUAAUGCCAGUCCUAAUUGAGUGGAUGGACCCCAUAGGUGAGCCCCAAAUUGGGAACCAUGGGAGGUUAGAAAUUAAACAGCAGCUUCAGUCUGCAAACUCAGAAACCUUGCAGGCUGGUGGGAGGAGGAGAAGAAACCAGAACUGGUUCUAUGCCCCGAUGCUCUCUGGUGUGGACAUACUGGUGUAGUUACCUGGUGGUGAAAUUUCAGGGCUCUCCAAAGGUAGAGCCACUCCAGCUUCUCACGGGGACUCUUAACAUUUCACAUACUAAACUAUCUCCUUAUACAGAUAGUGAUGAUGCUGAUAUACUGGGUAAAUUAUUUCCAUUUACAUUAAAAUUACACCUGCUUCAUCCAACGGGGAGGAGGACCAACAGGCUCUGGUGAAGUGGAUCAGAGUGAGAAGAAGCUUAACAGAAUUCUGAAAAGGAGCCUGGUUUGACUCUGAAAGUGUUCCGUAGGGAAAGAAGCCUCACCAGAAAUUGGCCAUGUGAAACAGAACUGAGAAUGGAGAAAAUUGCUUCCAGUUCCAGGUAGAGAGACCAAGACAACAUGAUUGGCAAGUGGGAUAUAUGGAAGAGGUCACUAGAGUUCAAGGUCCUUCAUACUCAUGUGAGAGAAAAAGAAAAAGGAAAUGAUGCAAAGAAGAAAUCAAAAGUCCACUGAGUUCAGUCACCCAUAAGAAACAUGAGACAUGUAGAACUCUCGUCAAGAACAAAUGCUGAAGUCAAAAGCUGAACCAUCACACCAUGCCAGCAGCUGAUGCUAGAAACCACUUCUGUGAUUUCAAGUCUCUAAGUUGGAAAGCUCCCAAACAGACCUGUUCCUUCAUUCUGAUUCCUAUUCUCUAAUGGUGAAAUUUAGCCUGAUGAGAGGGGAGAUGAAGACUUUCCAGAUGGAGGGACACCCUAUAUGAAGGUCCAAAGGUCAGAAGGAAGAAGUCCUAUGUCGACAACAUGGAAGACACAGCAGUACCAAGUCACCCUGGUCUGUUCACAUCACAGAUAUGGCCACAGAGCAGUGCCCAACACACAGGGAAUCUGCAGUCUGGGAAGUCUCCAGUAACCCUAUUGUUAACACCAAGUGGUUUUAUUCUUGUGAAUGCAAUCAUCAUUGUUGUAAAUACAGAACACUGUUCCUCCCAUAA
rnacentral:sRNA from 1 species